UCUCCGUUGGUGAACCAGCGGAGGGAUCAUCACCGAGUUUACAACUCCCAAACCCCUGUGAACAUACCUAUCGUUGCUUCGGCGGGAUGCCCCUCACGCCUCUGCGUUCCCGGGAGUCAGUCCCCCGCCGGAGGACCAACACUCUUGUUCUGAUAUAGAACUUCUGAUUUGAUUAUUCGAAUAAUUAAAACUUUCAACAACGGAUCUCUUGGCUCUG
rnacentral:misc_RNA from 1 species